rnacentral:lncRNA from 1 species
ACAACGUGGGAUCGUUCUUCCUCUUUCAGGCCCAAGUCUGCACGGCAACGAGCUUCUUCAACUCUCUAUGUCAAAAGGCUAUCAGCACCUUGCAGGAUGGAGCCCCCUCUUCGAGUCAGUUCAGUUUGCAGAGAUUUGGGAACUGGAUCUCUUGGUGUGAUGCUGUUUGGUUUUUACUUUCACGGGUCUCAUCUCUUAUCUCCUGAGAGCAGAGAAACAGAUACUUCCUUCAAAGAGGCAGAUCAGCUAACAUCCCAGAAGGCAUUGAGGCAUAGACGGAGUCAAUCUCAAAUGGCCACUCCAGUUCUGAUCAUUGUUCUCAUUAAAUCAAAUGGAUCAUCAUUUUGGAAAGAGAGCUCGCUACCUG